rnacentral:lncRNA from 1 species
UUUAAAAAACUUAUUCAGUGGCAUGUUGCUAGGAAGUGGGAGAGCCAGCGCUCAAAUCCAAACCCUCGGACUCCAAUGCCACUUUUAUUUCCAUUAGACCAAAGUUGUUGAGUUAAGGGGGUGUCUUCCCCAAGCAUGAGAAGACUUCUCCCUGGAGGAAUGGGUGGAUGAGAACAAUUUGUUCCUAUGACCAUGAAGGCAACUGAAGUAGGUGCUGUGAAGCACUUAGAACGUGGUUAGACAUCAGAGAAGUCAACGUCAUCUAUUGCAUUAUAAUGACUUCCAAUGCUUGGAAUGGUGGACUUGUUCACCAAGAUCAGUCCAUCUACUAGAGAGCAUCUCUGCAUUCCUGCUCUGCAAGCUUCUCAUCUUUCAUUCCUUGCCUUAUAGUACAUAGAUCUAGAAUUGGAAGUAGUCUUAAAGAAUUAUCAAGCCUGAUGCUUUCACUUUACAGUUUAGGAAACUGAGGCCCAGAGAAGUUGAGUUAUUUACGCAAGAUCACAAAAGUUUUAAGUGACAGUUCCAAGAUUUAAACCCAGGUCAUCUGAUUAUACAUCCAGCUCUUUUUUUUUCUCAUUAGACAGUCCCACCUCUUCUUCUAACUCUAGAUUUAAUAUUCUUUAUGUAGCACUAUUAUUUCAGUGAGAAAUAAUUCUCAACCAAAGUCAAAAGAAAAUUAUUCUUUCACACAUUGAGAUUAAGCUGCCCUAAAAUUCAUGUAUAAAGAGGCCUGGAAUUCAGUAGCUGCUGCAAAUCUGCCUGCAAAUAGCCAUAACCCAAAUCAUAGAAUCAUACAGAUUUUAGAAAAAGGAUGAACAGAAGCCAUGAAGGCCAACCCUCUCAUUUUACAGGUCUAGAGAAGAAAUGUAUCCAAGAUCACAAAGCAACCUCUAACACAGGAUUGGAUGGACAAGCGGCGAGUACUCAAGAAUUAUGAAUUGAUUGAUAGUGGAUUCUUUUCCUGGAAUGCUCUCAUGUCCAGUCCUGCCCUAUGGCAAGUAGAUGGAUGAGAUAACCUCUCAACAUCCCUUCCUUCCCUCUCCCUCCUCCCUUCUCCCUUCCCAGGCCUACAAAAAGGUUUGACAGCUCUAUCACCCCGAUGGCACUAUGUUCCAGCAAUUCAGAUCCCUACCUUGACUGAUUCUCAUUCUCCCGCUGAGGAUUUAAGAGUGAAAGAAAUUACGCCUGGCAAGUGCUUUUCAGAUAAAGAUGUGAUGUAAAUAUAAAUAACCUUGGAUUACCACACCAGUACUGGGCUAGCAAUGGGAAAACCAAGAUCUCAGGCCUUUUUGUCUUAUCAGUGAUUUUGGGGGUAGAGCCACAAAGGGCAGACAAUUGCAGGUAACGCUCUGCUUUGUAACAACUUUCUGUAACAACUCUGUUUCUGAAAAGUUUAUUGAUCAAAUUUGUAAAAAUGGCAUGAAUUAAAUAUUUUUAAAAUCACUGGUAAAAUUGCUAUUUAAAGAAACCCC